rnacentral:rRNA from 1 species
GUGGGGAAUCUUCCGCAAUGGACGAAAGUCUGACGGAGCGACGCCGCGUGAGUGAAGAAGGCCUUCGGGUCGUAAAGCUCUGUCAUCAGGGACGAACGGCCGGUGGAGUGGAAAGCCACCGGAUUGACGGUACCUGAGAAGGAAGCCACGGCUAACUACGUGCCAGCAGCCGCGGUAAUACGUAGGUGGCAAGCGUUGUCCGGAAUUAUUGGGCGUAAAGCGCGCGCAGGUGGGAUCUUAAGUCCAUUUUGAAAGUUCGGAGCUCAACUCCGUGAUGGGAUGGAAACUGGGAUUCUUGAGUACCGGAGAGGAAAGCGGAAUUCCCCGUGUAGCGGUGAAAUGCGUAGAUAUGGGGAGGAACACCAGUGGCGAAGGCGGCUUUCUGGACGACAACUGACGCUGAGGCGCGAAAGCCAGGGGAGCAAACGGGAUUAGAAACCCUUGUAGUCC